rnacentral:rRNA from 1 species
UACGGAGGACGCGAGCGUUAUCCGGAUUCAUUGGGUUUAAAGGGUGCGCAGGCGGCCGGCCAAGUCAGCGGUGAAAGCCCGGGGCCCAACCCCGGAAGUGCCGUUGAUACUGGUUGGCUGGAAUGCGGUCGAGGCGGGCGGAACGUGGCGUGUAGCGGUGAAAUGCGUAGAUAUGCCACAGAACGCCGGUAGCGGAGGCAGCUCGCCAGGCCUGCAUUGACGCUCAGGCACGAAAGCGUGGGGAUCGAAC